rnacentral:rRNA from 1 species
UACGGGAGGCAGCAGUGGGGAAUAUUGCACAAUGGGCGAAAGCCUGAUGCAGCUAUGCCGCGUGUAUGAAGAAGGCCUUAGGGUUGUAAAGUACUUUCAUCGGGGAGGAAAAAACAAAACUAAUAAUUUUAUUUCUUGACGUUACCCGAAAAAGAAGCACCGGCUAACUCCGUGCCAGCAGCCGCGGUAAUACGGAGGGUGCUAGCGUUAAUCAGAAUUACUGGGCGUAAAGAGCACGUAGGUGGUUUUUUUAAGUCAGAUGUGAAUCCCUGGGCUUAACCUAGGAACUGCAUUUUGAAACUGAAAUACUAGAGUAUCGUAGAGGGAGGUAGAAUUCUAGGUGUAGCGGUGAAAUGCGUAGAUAUCUGGAGGAAUACCUGUGGCGAAAGCGGCCUCCUAAACGAAUACUGACACUGAGGUGCGAAAGCGUGGGGAGCAAACAGGGAUUAGAUACC